ACUUAAUGGAUUCCAGAUUGGAUGCAUAAUUUCAUACUCCCUCUGUUAUCAUUUACAUAUGGUAUUUGGUUUGUCCCAAGUUAAGCACCUUAACUUGCCAAAAUCCUCAGCUGGCCCCGCCUAAAACCCAAACACCAUCUGUUCGCGUCGGCACGGAGGGCUCAAAAAGGUCAGAAUCCCGAAGCCGAACUCAACGGUAGGCGCUACCCGCGGCGCACUAGUUGACGUGCGCAACGUGCUCGACGGAAUGCCGCACCGGGACGUCGUCUCGGCCACUGCCGCCAUCGGCGCCCUCACCCGCCGCGGCCGGCACCGCGACGCCCUCGCCAUGUUCUCCCGGGUGCUCGCCGACGGCAUCGCGCCCAACGAGUUCACCUUCGGCACUGUCCUCCGCUCGGCCACCGCGCUGCGCGCCCCGCGCGUCGGCGCGCAGCUACACGCCUGCGCCACCAAGCUCGGCCUCUGCUCCAACGUCUUCGUCGGCAGCGCCCUCCUGGACCACUACGCCAAGAUGGGCGCCAUGAGGGAGGCCCAGGGCGCGCUGGAGGAUACCCGUGAGCCGAACGUGGUCUCCUACACCGCCCUCAUUGCCGGCUUGCUGAAGAACGGAAUGUUCAAUGAAGCAGACCAAUUGUUCCGGCGCAUGCGAGAGAGGAACCUGAUCUCUUGGAACGCGAUGAUCGGUGGGUGUAGCCAAGCCGGGCUCAGCGAGGAAGCUGUUAAUCUGUUCCUGGAAAUGUGUCGAGCAGGUGUGACGCCGAACGAAAGCACCUUCCCCUGCGUGCUCACUUCUGUUGCCAAUGCAGGGGCACUAGGCGUUGGUAGAAGUGUCCACGCAUCGGCCAUCAAGUUCUUGGGCAACCUUGACGUCUAUGUGGGGAAUUCUCUUGUGAGCUUCUAUGCAAGGUGCGGUAGCUUGGAGGACAGUGUCCUGGCGUUCAAAAGGAUGAAGCAAAAGAACGUGGUCUCAUGGAAUGCACUGAUCUGCGGGUAUGCACAGAAUGGAAGGGGAGAGGAGGCCUUAAAUACUUACAAGGCGAUGAGAGCAACAGGCCUGAAGCCGAAUAAUGUCACUCUUCUCGGCUUGCUGUUUGGAUGCAACCAUGCCGGUCUGGUUGACGAGGGGUAUGCGCUGUUCAAGGCUGCUGAGAGGGAACAACCCGGCAUACUGAAGCCUGAGCAUUAUGCUUGUGUGGUUGAUCUUCUAUCUCGGGCAAAGCGGUUCGACGAUGCCAAGAGGUUUCUUGAGGAUCUUCCCUUUCAGCCGGGCAUCGGGUUCUGGAAGGCACUGAUAGGGGGUUGUCAGAUUCACUGGAACAAGGAGCUAGCUGAGAGCGUUGCAAGGCGCAUUCAUGAAUUGGAUCCAAAGGACACAUCUUCCUACAUUCUUCUGUCAAAUGUUUAUUCUGCAGCAGGAAGCUGGCAAAGUGUUUCUAUGAUCAGGAGAGAGAUCAAGGAGAAGGGGCUGAAGAGGAUUACCGGCUGCAGUUGGAUUGAAGUCCAGGACAAGGUCCAUGUCUUCUUCAAUGGAGACUGUAGACAUCCUCAGGGUGAAGAAAUUUACGCUAUGCUUGAAGCAUGCCUGUACACCAGGGAAGAUGAUCAACAUGAACAAUAAACUGUGUGGUCAUGACAAAUCAUCCAAAAAAGAAUCAAAGCAGUGUUGGUAAAGGCUUUCAGGUAUCAGAUGAACAUGUGUUGCAGUAGCAGCAAGAAAUGCUCUUCAGGAAAGCUGUGAUCCCUCCCUCAUAAUGCCAGUAGGAAAGGAAAACUGGCAAGUUUGUCCAUGAUCAGCGUGGAGAUCAAGAAGGGGUGAAGAGGAUUACCGGCUGAAGUUGGAUACUUGGAUUGAGACCCUAGACAAAGCCCAUGUCUCAAAAAGAUGUUUGCUUGUCUUCCGCUUCUAUCCUUUUGAGGACCACAGGAGACUGCAGUGAUGCACCCUGAAGAGCGAGCUGUGCCUUGCUGGUAGCAAGAAACGUCCCUACUAUCGCACUAGCAAAGGAAUAUUGUGAAGUUCUUGGACGGAAGUCAGAAGAUGAUCAGCUGGAUCAUGCUCAGGUCAGAGGAUGGAGCCACAAAUCAGCAAAGAAUUCUUAUAUUCUUCGAUGAAUGUUGAUGAACCUUGAGACUUGGCGAUUUGCAAUGUUUGUAGAUUAAAAUUUGCAGUGGUAAUAGAUUAAAUGAGUCCAUUUACGAAUUGUAUUUUGAUUGACAACAGCAUAAUUCGCCUAAAUGUUAUUUACCUUGACCAUCGCAA